rnacentral:rRNA from 1 species
CAAGUAGCGGAGCAUGUGGUUUAAUUCGAAGCAACGCGAAGAACCUUACCUAAGCUUGACAUCCCAAUGACAUCUCCUUAAUCGGAGAGUUCCCUUCGGGGAUAUUGGUGACAGGUGGUGCAUGGUUGUCGUCAGCUCGUGUCGUGAGAUGUUGGGUUAAGUCCCGCAACGAGCGCAACCCUUGUCUUUAGUUGCCAUCAUUAAG